UGCGUAGGCGGAUUGUUAAGUCAGUGGUGAAAGUCUGCGGCUCAACCGUAGAAGUGCCAUUGAUACUGGCAGUCUUGAGUACAGUAGAGGUAGGCGGAAUUUAUGGUGUAGCGGUGAAAUGCAUAGAUACCAUAAAGAACACCUAUAGCGAAGGCAGCUUACUAUGCUGUAACUGACGCUGAGGCACGAAAGCGUGGGGAGCGAACAGGAUUAGAUACCCUGGUAGUCC
rnacentral:rRNA from 1 species